GACGUAGGGCGCGAGCGUUGUCCGGAUUUAUUGGGCGUAAAGAGCUCGUAGGCGGUCUGUCGCGUCGGUUGUGAAAACCCAAGGCUCAACCUUGGGCCUGCAAUCGAUACGGGCAGACUAGAGUACUGCAGGGAGACUGGAAUUCCUGGUGUAGCGGUGGAAUGCGCAGAGUAUCAGGAGGAACACCGGUGGCGAAGGCGGGUCUCUGGGCGAGUAACUGACGCUGAGGAGCGAAAGCGUGGGGAGCGAACAGG
rnacentral:rRNA from 1 species